GACGAACGCUGGCGGCGUGCUUAACACAUGCAAGUCGAGCGAUGAAGCUCCUUCGGGAGUGGAUUAGCGGCGGACGGGUGAGUAACACGUGGGUAACCUGCCUCAUAGAGGGGAAUAGCCUUUCGAAAGGAAGAUUAAUACCGCAUAAGAUUGUAGCUUCGCAUGAAGCAGCAAUUAAAGGAGUAAUCCGCUAUGAGAUGGACCCGCGUCGCAUUAGCUAGUUGGUGAGGUAACGGCUCACCUAGGCGACGAUGCGUAGCCGACCUGAGAGGGUGAUCGGCCACAUUGGGACUGAGACACGGCCCAGACUCCUACGGGAGGCAGCAGUGGGGAAUAUUGCACAAUGGGGGAAACCCUGAUGCAGCGACGCCGCGUGAGUGAUGACGGCCUUCGGGUUGUAAAGCUCUGUCUUCAGGGACGAUAAUGACGGUACCUGAGGAGGAAGCCACGGCUAACUACGUGCCAGCCGCCGCCGUAACAC
rnacentral:rRNA from 1 species